UACAGAGGGUGCAAGCGUUGUUCGGAAUUAUUGGGCGUAAAGCGCGUGUAGGCGGCUUUGCAAGUCGGGUGUGAAAGCCCUCGGCUCAACCGAGGAAGUGCGCCCGAAACUGCAGAGCUUGAGUACCGGAGAGGAUGGCGGAAUUCCCCCAAGUAGAGGUGAAAAUUCGUAGAUAUGGGGAGGAACACCGGUGGCGAAGGCGGCCAUCUGGACGGAUACUGACGCUGAGACGCGAAAAGCGUGGGGGAGCAAACAGG
rnacentral:rRNA from 1 species